AGAAAUAUGAACCAUUGUUCACCUCCUUCUGGCAUCUAUGAUACUCUGGGAGCAGUUGUUCCUCUGGGGAUUCCUGGGGUGCUAAUAUUGUGUCAACGUGGGCUCAUCAAAUGCAAUGAAUGUACCACUCUGGUGGGGCUGUUGAUAAUGGGGGUGGCUGUGCAUGCGGGAGGGCAGGUGAUAUAUGAAAAACCUCUGUACCUUCUGCUGAAUUUUGCUGUAAACCUAAAACUGCUCUAAAAUAUCGUGUUUUUUAAUUGAAAGAACCCGGCCUGGCCCAGUGGCUC
rnacentral:lncRNA from 1 species